rnacentral:rRNA from 1 species
AUGCAUCAAAACAAAAAUGACAGAGCAGGACAAAGCUAUUUGUAUUUUACAACUUCCAGGGAGGAUUCUGAACUCAAAUCACUCAUGCAAAUUGCUCUACAUACCAGCAGCAGCGAAGCUCGAGCUCCUUCGACUGCUGAUUAUUACUACCGCAUUAUUCUGUUGCCAUGGCAGCACUUGGCAGCCUCCGCUCAAGGAACAGUGACUGUUCUGUUCAGACUAUAUUUCACCAUCCCAGAUCUCUUCUUCGGAUUUGAACAGGCCUUCCGGGUGAGUCCAGAAUUUCCCGCGGAUCAGCCUUGUUUGUUCGAUCUCAGAGAAGCCGGCGAACAGGUCGCUCGGAAUGGACCAGUCGAAGACGUCGAAGUUGGCCUUGAUCCUCUCCUCGUGGGUGCUCUUGGGCAGCACGCUGUGCCCCGACUGGAUCCCCCACCGCAGCGCCACCUGCGCCGGCGUCUUCCCCAGCUUCUCCGCCGUCGACACCACCACCGGGUGCUCCAGCACGGUGAAUGCUUUGAACGUCCCCGGCGAGCCCAGCGGCGAGUAGGCCUGCAUACGCAUGAACUGUUGAACACACCGGGAAAGCUACAGUAA